UGGGUCUUGCUGGGCUGCGGCAGUGAGCCCGAAGUGGGUGUCUGAAGGACUGAGCGACCUUGACACCAGCCUGACACAACGGGCCAUUCUUGCAGCAGGCUGGACGGAAUGAGUCAUUGAGGCACUGUAGUCUGGGACUUUGUCUUGCACCCUCCACCCACCCUCUUUUCCCUCCCCUUCCCCAUCUGUGUGUGGCCACCAACCGAAAGGUCUAUUGCUGUAUACCACCGAUAGCUCCCGAAAAUCUAGAGAGGCCUCCUUGACUCCACAAAGGAGCCUCUAUGCUCUGGACGGGAGCGUCUGAAUGGGAGCCUUCUUUUCUCUGUAACAUCAAUGGGGCUCCUUCUGCGCGCUCUGUAGACUUGGGCCUUCAAAGAACCAUCCCUGUGGCGUUUGAGGCCAUAGCACUCCCCUCCUAUGGCCUUCCGUUCUCAUUUCAAAUCACAACACUGGCGGCUCGUAACGGACGAGGCUCUCGCCAAGAACGGGAUGGAGUUCCUUUGGCUGAUCCUGACACUCUGCGCCCUGGUCAAAACCAACCCAGCAGAUGUAAUCACGAACGGACCCCCUAAGGGAAUCGUUCUCCGCAAUGAUCCAGGAUUCCUUAUAACUAACUGCAGAGUACUAACGCAGAGGGUGUUCGUCCGCCUAGAUGCAGAGAACAUGUACCGCCAACACAUUCCACCUUCGGCGCAUUUGAGUUGGACUGGGGCUGACUGGACCACCUAGGCAGGACAAUGUCCCAACUCACAUCCAGGCUGUCAAAGGGCUAUUUGACCAAGAAGGAGAGUGAUGGAGUGCUAUAUCAGAUGACCUGGCCUCCACAAUCACCUGACCUAAACCCAAUUGAGAUGGUUUGGGAUGCGUUGGACCUCAGAGUGGAAAAGAAAAGCAGCCAACAAUUGCUCAGCAUAUGUGGGAACUCCUUCAAGCUGACUGAGAGAAUGCCGAAUUGUGCAAAGCUGUCAUCAAGGCAAAGGGUGGCUACUUUGAAGAAUUUAACAUAUAAAAUAUUUUUUGAUUUGUUUAAUUUUUUUUGUUAACACAUGAUUCCAUAUGUGUUAUUUCAUAGUUUCGAUGUCUUCACUAUUAUUCUACAAUUUAGAAAAUAAGAAAAAUUAAGAAAAAGUAGGUGUGCACACUUUUGACUGGUACUGUACUUUAUGCUCUGGCUCAGCCCAUCAGAUGGCCUGAAUGUGUUUGCAUUGCGGAGAAUAAAAUACGUCCAUGGGUGUGGCGUAGCAUUUGUAAGUUGAGUAAACACAUGGCUCUAUGCAAACUCAAUUUGAUUUAAUACAUUUUGACAUUUUGAGUGAGUUGGAACAACUCAACUUAACAUGUUUGGUCAAUUUAACACAUUUUAUUUACUUGGCUAGAUAAAACAAGUCAUUUUGACUGAAUAUCCAUGUAUGUCAGCCAAUGAGAAGGUUGCUUUGAUUUCCACAGACCAGCUAGGUCACCAUCGCCCGGCACCACCUCUUCAUGGUGAGCAUGUCAUCACGAGUCCACCUGCGGAUUUUUCUGCAGUUGACUAAUCACCCACAAAACCAAAAAUGUGAGUGUUCCCCACUACAGUUAUCAACGGAAAAUCGCUGUGUGUCUCAGGGAAGGGGACAAUGUUCUUGGCUGGAGUUCGACAAGGGAUGGUGUUUUCUGUAUAAAUGUGUAUACAUUUUUCCAAGGCCACUAUGGAAGGCUCAUUUGUUAGUGACAUAUAUAAGGAUUGGAAGCACCUUCACAAUUCAUUCUUCAGGCACCAGGCUAGCAAACGCUACUUUUGCACAGAAUACAUUUGAAGACUACAGUGCAAGCCAUCGCCAUCAAAGCCAAGGCCAUGUUUUAAACCAACUUCGACUUCAUAAAGCCCUUUUUACAUCAGCAGAUGUCACAAAGUGCUAUACAGAAACCCAGCCUACAACCCCAAACAGCAAGCAAUGGAGAUGUAGAAGCACGGUUCAAGGAAAAACUCCCUAGUAUGGCCGGAACCUAGGAAGAAACCUAGAGAGGAACUGGGCUCUGAGGGAUGGCCAGUCCUCCUUUGUCUGCUGGCUCCAUGUGAUCACUAUCAUAUCUCUGUUGAGGAUGCUGAAUUAACCAAAAAGUGGGGGGAGGUCAGGAAUUCCCAUCCCUUAUGAAGUUUUGGACAACUGCAGCCUUGACAUUUUCCCAAACAUCAAUAGACGACUAAUAUUAGGAAUCAAGGUAAGACCCAGAUGCAGACUGUCAAAGUUAACAUGUUUAUUGUGGCAACAGGGCAGGCAAAGACAGGUCAAGGCAGGCAGGGGUCGAACAUCCAGGGUAAGGCAAAGGUACAGGACGGCUGGCAGACUCAGGGUCAGGGACAGGCAGAGUGAUCAGGCAGGCGGGGACAGUGGCAGGACAGGCAAAUGUCAAAACCAGGAAAGAGAGGCUGAGAAACGAUAAGAGCUGACAGGAAAAACGCUGGUUAGCUUGAACGAAUUAGACGAACUGGCAACAGACAGAGAAAACGGGUAUAAAUACACAUGGGAUAAUAGGGAAGAAGGGUGACACCUGGAGGGGGGAUGGAGACAAGCACAAGGACAGGUGAAACAGAAUAGGGCGUGACAACUAAGGGCCAUCAUCACCCUUCCGAUGACUUCAUGAUGUCUGUAUCAAAAUAUCCAUCAAAACAUACCCGCUGUGAUAUCAUUAUGUAAAAUGUUUUCAUUCCUGAAUGCCUAUGCAGUAGUGUUUGCUUAUUCAAAGUGAGCUGUUCGCUUCAUACAGUUCAAGAUAUAAGCCUAAAGGGUUUGUAUUAUAUUGUGUGUGGCUGUUUUCAUAUGGCAAAAUGUGUGCACUUUUGGGCUUAAUGAAAACACUUUCAUGGCUUUCUAUUUCUAUCAUUCCUUGCUUCUUUGUGCAACAAUCUGUUUUCGCAAAUUCCAGUGUCAAGCUGGUGUCCGGGCCGAUUCGCUGACCAUGGUUCUGAAUACACCUAUUGUGCCUGUACUGUAGAUCGCUGCUUUGAAUGGGAGUGGUCGAUAUGAUCUGAUGAUAUGAUGUUAAUUUCAAGAGUUUGGACUGUCAGACUGAACACACCAAUUAUCUGUAUUUUUUGACAGUAUACAUUUAUCACUACUGUUAUCUGCUGCUGUAGAAUCUCUCUCUCUCUCUCUGAAUAUGUAGGUGAUAGACAUGUUGUCUAUUUCAUUAUGGCCUCUUUUGUCAGUGGUGUUGUUAUAAGAGUUUGUGUAGUUCCGCACUUGCACUGCCUAAUUGGCAAUAAUAAGGGGCUUAUUUGUCAAGGGAAAUGUGUGGUGUUUUUUGGUAACAUUUAUCCUGCGUUAUGUGUUAUGUGUUAUGAAUAUGUUGGGGCAUUUUAGCUGUAUUUUUGCUGAAAUAAAGUAUCCCAGACACUUUUA
ensembl:lncRNA